AUUGAACGCUGGCGGCAUGCCUUACACAUGCAAGUCGAACGGUAACGGGCCUUCGGGUGCCGACGAGUGGCGAACGGGUGAGUAAUGCAUCGGAACGUACCCAUCAGUGGGGGAUAACUCUCCGAAAGGAGGGCUAAUACCGCAUAUUCUGUGCGCAGGAAAGCGGGGGACCGCAAGGCCUCGCGCUGAUGGAGCGGCCGAUGUCAGAUUAGCUAGUUGGUGGGGUAAAGGCCUACCAAGGCGACGAUCUGUAGCGGGGCUGAGAGGAUGAUCCGCCACACUGGGACUGAGACACGGCCCAGACUCCUACGGGAGGCAGCAGUGGGGAAUUUUGGACAAUGGGGGCAACCCUGAUCCAGCCAUGCCGCGUGAGUGAAGAAGGCCUUCGGGUUGUAAAGCUCUUUCGGCCGGGAAGAAAUCGCAUCUCCUAAUACGGGGUGUGGAUGACGGUACCGGAAUAAGAGGCACCGGCUAACUACGUGCCAGCAGCCGCCGCGGUAA
rnacentral:rRNA from 1 species